UUUUGGGGGGGUGGAGAGAGUGGGAUUGUUAGGGAAUUGGGAAGCUUCCCCCAUGCAGACCCUGGCUGACCCCAGGCCUCUCUCAUUCAAUCAGGCACAUCUGUCCCAUCCCUGCAGUCCCCUAUCCUCAUCG